rnacentral:lncRNA from 1 species
CCAGAACUAUUACUAAGAGAUAUCUCAGAUAGAAUAUUACAGAACUCAAAAAGAAUAUGAAGAAACAAAAAUAGAAUUAGAAAGUUUACAGAAAGAACUAAAACAAAUGAGAAAUAAUAUGAGUACAGGAAAAUUAGUUUCUUACAUCCAGUAUAAACAUACAGUAGAAGCCAUUGAAUCAUUAGAAUAGUAUCUAACAGAGUACACAUUACCAAUACUUAAAUCAGACUUAAGACAUCUUAAUAGAACAAUAUGUUAGAAGACAAUCUUGAAAUAAGAUUAAUCCAGAUGCUUAACCAGCUCUCAGAAACUCCAACAGAUAGUCUUCCUACAGACAAAGAAUUGACAGCAGUAGAAUAUAAGAUUAUCAGAUAUGGUAGAUAUAAAAUAGGAGAUCCAGAAGAAAUAAAAACAGAAAGGUAUAAUAUACUUAAAAGAUAUAUUAUAAACAUCAAACAGAAUAAUCAGGAAUCAAUUCUUAUUAACAGAGCUUUAUUUUAUCAUCCAGAUACUUUAAAACAGGAUUGUUUAAAGUUAAUAGCAGAAAAUUUACUAGAACCUUACCAGUAUAUAGAAGUAGAAAAUAAUAAUUUAGUUCUAAAAAUAAAUAAAGAAAUAUCACAGAUCCCAGAGGAAGAACCAGACUUAAAAGAGGCCUUAAAUCAAAGUAUAACUAUUCAAGAACCAGAAGACAUAAAAGUUUCUACUCAACAAGUAACAACAGAAACAACAUCAUUAGUAGAUGAGAAUUUUCUUACUAAACAAGAAAUAUUAUCAUCAUUUGAUCCAACAUUUGAAAAAGAACUAUUAGAAUUAGUAGAUAGGUAUAUUCUUAAUAAAACAAAAAUACCAUCAGAAUUAAAUGAAGAUAUUAAUCCAGAAUUAGAACAAGGAUUCUUAGAAUUAGUUGAUACACCAGACAUACCAUUACUAGAAGAAGAAAAGAGUAUUCCAGAUAAACCAAAAACCUUAGAAAUAGAAACAUCCAAGAAUACAAAAGAUAGACAAUUACAGUCCUUUCAGUCUCCAGUAAAAACAAAAUUAAAUUACAUUGAGAUUAAUCUCCCUGAGGUUGAUCUUAAUAAAGUAUUUCCAAAAAUAAGGAAUUAUCAAACAUAUUUUGAUAAUAAUAUUAUAACCAAGUUUUUAAAAUAUUAUUCUAACCAUAUUACCAGAUCAUUAAAACCAUUAUCUUUACAUCAGAAUUUAUACCAAAAAAUAGAACUUACAGAUUGUAAUAUUAUUCUAUGGUCGAUUUAAUUACCAGUUCUAUUUAUAAAACAAUUGUUAACAGCAAUCUAUUUUCAACAGAUUAUAUUAUGCUUCUCGGAAAUAAACAAUAAAAUAAAUGUUUAUUUAGGAAGUGAUAUAAAUAAUAAUAUUAUCAUAAGAAUAAAUCAGACAUUAUCAGAAUACCCCAAUAUUCCUCCUCUUCAUUUAAGUCAUAAACCAGAAACUUACAGUAUAGGAGUUAUGACAAUACAGAUAAAAAUUAGAAAUCAUCCUUUCCAGAGUUGAACAAUAAAGUUUAUAAAACAAACUUUUGCUUAGAUACUGUUAGAUUAGACCAGACAUUACUAAAUUACUUUAGUAAGAUUAUCCCUCUAAACUUAGUCUAUAAGUUACGAGAGAGUUUGCUUAAGACUAGUAAAAAUUAUAAACAGUCUAUUAUAACAGACUAUUUUACUCCAGUAAAUAUCUUUAAUAAAGAUAUUAUUACUACUCUUCACAGAAAAUUAUUAAGGAUUCUAAGAAAACAAUCUAUAAUUAAGAAAAAUAUCUAUUUGAACAAUAGAUCCAAAAAAGAACAUAAACUUAAAAAUAACCAAAAAAGUUUAAAUAUUAAGCCAGAUAAAAAGACCCUUCUUAAAUAUACAAGAAAAAAGUUUACACAGGUCCCAUGAUCGAAUAUUAGAAAGACUUCUAGUCCAGAAUGCCAGAAAUAUUAUAAUAAAAUUCUAGAAGAGAAAGAAGCUGUUCUAGAAGAGAAAGAAGCUGUAAUCCAGCCUAUAAAUACACAACAUGAUAAUCCAAAAACACAAAUUUUACCAACCUUAGAAAACACUAAGACAGAAAACCCCCCUCCAAAACCUAAUAUACCAGGUUUAGUACCAGAGUCCUUACAGGAAGUUAUAACAGCAGAUUUAUUUUUAGUUUAUUAACUUCAUUUUUUCAUGACAGAUGACAGAUCCUCCGAGGCAUUCUUCGCCAAGGAACAACAGCAUGCAUCACGAUUUUCCGCCUAAAGGCUCAGCACCUAUGCCAGUACACACACGGCACAUCAUGCAUUAAAUAAAAUGCAUAUUUCAUAAUCAUCCCAACAUACCAUGCAUCCAUCUCCUCAAAAGAAUUAUGAAAUUAUUUCCAUAGGAAACCAACAGUUUAUUCUUAUCCAGCUACAUAAAAAUUUGUAUUUAAGCCUUUUCUAGGAAUAGAGCUUACCAAAGAACAGAAAUGUGUCAUUGAUAAUCUUUGGAUAUCACAUGGAAAAAACCAGAAAUAGUUCUUAGCAUCCUUGAAUGAUUGUUCUAGUUUAUUCCAGUCAAAAAGAUUUAAAUUCUAUGUAGUUGUAGCAGGCCAUGUUCAGGGCAUUUUCCACUCUUGGACAGAUGUUUUCUCAUAGAUCCAUAACUUCCCAAAACCUAUUUUCAAAGGUUUUGAAUCUUUAGAAUUAGGACAUCAGUUUUCCAGAAACAGAAUAGGUCCAACCUAUUUUGUCACUCCAACUCUCCAGAACUACAAAGAUCCAGUGGAUUAUUCAGUCCUAAAGGAUCCCAAUCCAACUCAACCAUUGUUUUGCACACGUUGUAAAACUAUGGUAUCCAGUUUCUCAAAACUUAACAAAUAGAAAGAAGAACUCUUAACAGAGAAUUCUAAAAUUCGCCAGAAAAAUAAUGAUUUACAACAAGAAGUUUAUUUUCUAACCUCACAGUUAGCUACCCAAAAUAUGGGACAGAAGAGUUCAGCAUCGUCCUCUUUGAAGAGCACAGAGGAUACCACAAGAUUCCAAAUAUUUGAUUUGGAUAGUGAGUCAUCCGUAAAGAGCUUACCUACUCCACUACAAACGGCAAGUGGUGAAGAGAUAUCAAGUCCGUUGAUGGGUGCG